CAGACGGUUACUUAAGCAGGAUGUGAAAUCCCCGGGCUCAACCUGGGAACUGCGUUCUGAACUGGGUGACUAGAGUGUGUCAGAGGGAGGUAGAAUUCCACGUGUAGCAGUGAAAUGCGUAGAGAUGUGGAGGAAUACCGAUGGCGAAGGCAGCCUCCUGGGAUAACACUGACGUUCAUGCUCGAAAGCGUGGGUAGCAAACAGGAUUAGAUACCCUGGUAGUCCACGCCCUAAACGAUGUCAAUUAGCUGUUGGGCAACUUGAUUGCUUAGUAGCGUAGCUAACGCGUGAAAUUGACCGCCUGGGGAGUACGGUCGCAAGAUUAAAACUCAAAGGAAUUGACGGGGACCCGCACAAGCGGUGGAUGAUGUGGAUUAAUUCGAUGCAACGCGAAGAACCUUACCUGGUCUUGACAU
rnacentral:rRNA from 1 species